rnacentral:rRNA from 1 species
UACAGAGGGGGCAAGCGUUGUUCGGAAUUAUUGGGCGUAAAGGGUGCGUAGGCGGUGCGGUAAGUCUUCUGUGAAAUCUACGGGCUUAACUCGUAGUCUGCAGGAGAAACUGCCGUGCUUGAGUAUGGGAGAGGUGAGUGGAAUUCCUGGUGUAGCGGUGAAAUGCGCAGAUAUCAGGAGGAACACCGAGUGGCGAAGGCAGGUCUCUGGGCAUUAA